rnacentral:rRNA from 2 species
CCUACGGGAGGCAGCAGCUAAGAAUAUUCCGCAAUGGACGGAAGUCUGACGGAGCGACGCCGCGUGGAUGACGAAGGCCGAAAGGUUGUAAAGUUCUUUUGCUGGGGAAGAAUAACCGCAGGAGGGAAUGCCUGUGGGAUGACAAGAACCGGCGAAUAAGCCCCGGCCAACUACGUGCCAGCAGCCGCGGUAACACGUAGGGGGCGAGCGUUGUUCGGAAUUACUGGGCGUAAAGGGCAUGUAGGCGGCUUGGAAAGCCUGGCGUGAAAGUCUGCAGCUUAACUGCAGGGGUGCGCUGGGAACUGCUGAGCUUGAGUGACGGAGAGGGAGCUGGAAUUCCUGGUGUAGGGGUGAAAUCUGUAGAUAUCAGGAAGAACACCGAUGGCGAAGGCAAGCUCCUGGCCGAUGACUGACGCUGAGGUGCGAAAGUGUGGGGAUC